rnacentral:rRNA from 1 species
AAUCCCUAAGUAAAGUGGCGUACGGGUGAGUAACACGUGGAUAAUUUGCCUUUUUGUGGGGGAUAACCUGGGGAAACCUGGGCUAAUACCGCAUAAUCUCGAGAGAGGAAAGCCGCAAGGCGCAGAAAGAGGAGUCCGCGGUCGAUUAGCUAGUUGGUAGGGUAAAGGCCUACCAAGGCAACGAUCGAUAGCCGGCCUGAGAGGGCACACGGCCACACUGGCACUGAAACACGGGCCAG